rnacentral:rRNA from 1 species
CAGUAGCCGCGGUAAUACGUAGGUCCCGAGCGUUGUCCGGAUUUAUUGGGCGUAAAGCGAGCGCAGGCGGUUAGAUAAGUCUGAAGUUAAAGGCUGUGGCUUAACCAUAGUACGCUUUGGAAACUGUUUAACUUGAGUGCAAGAGGGGAGAGUGGAAUUCCAUGUGCAGCGGUGAAAUGCGUAGAUAUAUGGAGGAACACCGGUGGCGAGAGCGGCUCUCUGGCUUGUAACUGACGCUGAGGCUCGAAAGCGUGGGGAGCAAACAGGAUUAGAUACCCGUGUAGUCCCUGUCUCUUAUACA